GAUUGGUGCUUGUUGUUUAAUUUUAUUCAUUGCAUUACAUGCUUGAAUGAUUUUUGGUGCAUUGAAUUUCUGUUUAUUUAAAAAUCAUUUUUGAGGAAGAGGUGUUUGGGAAUUUCAAAAUCUUUGAGAAAGGAGAUGAUUAAAAAUCAUUUUUUUUGGAGAGAAAGUUUUUAAAGAUUGUUUAAACGGGUUUUAUCUUCACAAUCAUAUUAAGUUAAAUUCAUAUUAAUUAUCGUCUUUACUCCACUAUUUAUUAUUUUGACGAUAAUUUAUUAUAUGAUUUCUUAUUGCAUAAAUUCAUCAAAAUUUUGAAAUCAAAUUUGAUUUUUGGUGAUUAAUUCAUCUUAGUUGUGAGUGUUGGAUAUGAUGAAUGGAUAUUCUCUUAUUGACUAAAAUCCGUCAAAAUUAUCUUCAACUGUGAGAUUGUCUAAUUUAGGGGGAGUUUGAAAUUGUUUAAAAAUAAAAAAAGGGAGAAAAAGAAACUCCUAUGUUUAAAAGAUGUGGAAAGAGUUACAUCCAAAAGGAGUGUGAAAACUACCACCACAUGUAGGAAAGAGCUACCACCCCGGUCGUCCGGCAAGUGUGUGAAGCUACCACAUGGAAUUUAAUUGAAAAAGCCGAAAAAGGUUGAAAAAAUAUAAAUAUUUUAGAAUUUUCGGAGUAAUAAGGUGCUAGUUUGAAAAAGAUGCUCAAAGAGCCACCCCUGGUACCAUAUUAGUUAAAU
rnacentral:lncRNA from 1 species